AUCAUUAAUUAUCGUUGUUUAUUAAUUAAUCCAACAUACACAAAAUGCUUUUCAAGUACUUUUAAAAAUUUGUCGAGAAGAAUUCGAUAUUGUUAUGAAUCUUGAUUCGCCAUGAAGUAAAGUAAUCUGUAAGUCUAAUGAUGUAAACGAGGAUUUUACCUACAAUAAUAAGUGUAUAUUGGUGCAUAAUUGAUGAUGAAGUUGGUUUGAAUAUUAUGUUUUAUGAAAUAUAAUUUACAUAACAAUACGUAAAAAUACAA